rnacentral:rRNA from 1 species
UACGAAGGGGGCUAGCGUUGCUCGGAAUCAUUGGGCGUAAAGCGCGCGUAGGUGGCUUCGUAAGUCCGUUGUGAAAGUCAAAGGCUCAACCUUUGAAAGCCGAUGGAUACUGUGAAGCUAGAGUACGGAAGAGGCGAGUGGAAUUCCUGGUGUAGCGGUGGAAUGCGCAGAUAUCAGGAGGAACACCAAUAGCGAAGGCAGCUCGCUGGGACGUUACUGACACUGAGGCGCGAAAGCGUGGGGAGCGAACAGG